GGGUCAGUAGGUUGGUCGUGCCACCGGUACGUACUGGUCUCACUGAUUCCUCCUUCCUGAAUAACCGUAAUGCCAUUAAUUUGGUUUUGCGGGGAAACAGGACUGUUACUUUGAAAAAAUUAGAGUGUUUAAAGCAAGCUAACGCUUGAAUACAUUAGCAUGGAAUAAUGAAAUAGGACGAUCGAUCCUAUUUUGUUGGUUUCUAGGAUUGACGUA
rnacentral:rRNA from 1 species